CUUACAACUCAAACGACUAAUCGCGUUAAUGAAGUAUCCAACGUCUUUAAAGUGCUGCAAAUUCAUAAGGAAAACGUUUGUGACGUUGUCAUGAGGUCAAUAUAAGGGCCACUCAUGUAAAUAUAUGACAACGUUAAUGUGGUAAGGUGUAUCAUAAAUGAUACAUGGUCAUAAGUGUAUGAAUACCCAAACAUUACACCCAUAUGUGAUUUGUUUACCAUCUGUUCAUAAAGUGUCUCAUAUUUGGCAUACAUCACAGCUUAAUAAGGUUGAUAACAACAAUGGAUAAUGUAUUUAAAAAAAACUAAACUCUUUGUAUAAAAUUAUAUUUGUUCCCCUUGAGCGUGCACAUAUAUAUUGUGAUGUGAUUAUGUCUUUCCCUUAUUAAACUUAAGUGACCUAAGCUGUUUGACAUCUCUGUGUUCUUGGCUGGUUGAAUUCUUAAUGCUUUGCUUUUCUUGUGGCCUCUUUUGCGUUAUUGUCCACAUUUGGUAUGUUUACCUCAUGACAACUCACAAACAUUUUCCUCAUGAAUUUGCAGCACUUUGAAGACGUUUUGAAUUUAAACAGCCGACUAUUUGUUUGAGAAAUCAGCAAUAUUGUAACAUCCACAUUCUCCAUGGUAGUCAGCAGUGUGGUCGCAUGUUGAUCUGGUUGCCCUCUGCCUUUCGUUGCGACUGCUAGAGAUGAUCUUGGCCUAGUGGAAGAGCAAGGUGGUAACUUCCUGUUUCAACACAUAGAGAGCAAGCGACGUUUCAACUCGAGUGGACUUUCUCUCAAAAGACUCGACAACGAUUUUUACGGACGUAACACACCAACGGACCCCCGCCGCAUUUUAGAUGCUGACAAAGAAUCAGGUCACGUGCGGCCACAGACGACGAGAUCCUGAAACAUGCCAUUAGCACCGAAAUCCUGGUCCACUCAUUUGUCACAUCCCGCAUCGACUAUUGCAAUGCCCUCCUCACCGGACUCCCCACCAAACUCAUCAACAGACUGCAAAUCAUUCAGAACUCGGCCACCCGGAUCAUCACCUGUACCAAAUCAUCGGACCACAUCACUCCUGUACUCAUCCAACUUCACUGGCUCCCUGUACAAUACCGCAUCGACUACAAAAACCUUCUCCUCACCUAUAAAGCUCUCCACAAUCUAGCCCAUACUUACCUCUACGACCUCCUCCAGGAACCCUCCCACACCCUCCGCUCAUCCUCUUCUGGACUGCUAACCAUCCCCACGUCACGCCUCAGUACCAUGGGUGCCCGAGCCUUCAGCUGCUCAGCACCCAGGCUCUGGAACUCCCUCCCCCCACACAUAAGACAAUCAGACUCCAUCACAUCAUUCAAGUCUCAACUCAAAACUCACCUGU